rnacentral:rRNA from 1 species
AUAUUUGAGAGUUUGAUCCUGGCUCAGGAUGAACGCUGGCGGCGUGCCUAACACAUGCAAGUCGAGCGAUCUCUUCGGAGAGAGCGGCGGACGGGUGAGUAACGCGUGGGUAACCUGCCCUGUACACACGGAUAACAUACCGAAAGGUAUACUAAUACGGGAUAACAUAUGAAAGUCGCAUGGCUUUUGUAUCAAAGCUCCGGCGGUACAGGAUGGACC